UACGGAGGAUGCAAGCGUUAUCCGGAAUGAUUGGGCGUAAAGCGUCCGCAGGUGGCUAUGUAAGUCUGCUGUUAAAGAGUGAGGCUCAACCUCAUAAAAGCAGUGGAAACUACAUGGCUAGAGUGCGUUCGGGGCAGAGGGAAUUCCUGGUGAAGCGGUGAAAUGCGUAGAGAUCGGGUGGAACACCAGAGGCGAAGGCGGCUAGCUGGACAGUUACUGACACUCAACUCCGAAAGCGUGGGGAGCAAACAGG
rnacentral:rRNA from 1 species